GACGAACGCUGGCGGCGUGCUUAACACAUGCAAGUCGAACGGUGAAGCGCCUUCCUUUUUGGUGGGUGUGGAUGAGUGGCGAACGGGUGAGUAACACGUGAGUAACCUGCCCCCUUCUUCUGGAUAACCGCAUGAAAGUGUGGCUAAUACGGGAUAUUCUGGGUCUGUCGCAUGAUGGGUCCGGGAAAGAUAUUGUUUCGGUGGGGGAUGGGCUCGCGGCCUAUCAGCUUGUUGGUGGGGUGAUGGCCUACCAAGGCGGUGACGGGUAGCCGGCCUGAGAGGGUGGACGGUCACACUGGGACUGAGACACGGCCCAGACUCCUACGGGAGGCAGCAGUGGGGAAUAUUGCACAAUGGGCGCAAGCCUGAUGCAGCGACGCCGCGGGAGGGAUGGAGGCCUUCGGGUUGUGAACCUCUUUCGCCAGUGAAGCAGGCCUGCCUCGUUUGUGGGUGGGUUGACGGUAGCUGGAUAAGAAGCGCCGGCUAACUACGUG
rnacentral:rRNA from 1 species